GACGUAGGGGGCCAGCGUUGCUCGGAAUUACUGAGCGUAAAGGGUUCGUAGGCGGUGUGGCAAGUCGGGAGUGAAAUCUCUGGGCUUAACCCAGAGGCUGCUUCCGAAACUGCCGUGCUAGAGUGCGGGAGAGGCGAGUGGAAUUGCAGGUGUAGCGGUGAAAUGCGUAGAUAUCAGGAGGAACACCAAUGGCGAAGGCAGCUCGCUGGGACGGUACUGACGCUGAGACGCGAAAGCGUGGGGAGCAAACAGG
rnacentral:rRNA from 1 species